rnacentral:lncRNA from 1 species
CUCCAGCCUGGGUGACAGCAAGACUCUAUCCCCUCCAAAAAAUAUUUUUUAAUAAUUAAAAUUUAAAAAAAAUUAUACUACCAUUCAGCUUCGCCUUUGAGACUCACCACCUGCGAAAUCUUUGUUCUAAUAACCAGCCUUGUCCAUUUCUAGGUGCUGAGAUACUCUCGGCCCUCUUGGCUUCGUCCAUCUGCUUCAGAUGCCACAGAAGAGUUCCAAGUGACUCUGGAAAAAAAAAACACUUUGACCAAAACAAAGUUAUCAACAUGGCAAUUUGAUUUUAAUGGUUAUCUGGUUAAAAUGAAAAAGACAUCAUUAGCAACAGGUGUGUAAGAUUCUAGUGUUCUGUAAAAUGAUCUUGUUUUCCUUAAGUGUUCUUUUUUUUUUUUUUUUUCCAGGGUUGGGGGCAGGAAAUUCCCAGCUUUUGGGGACAUUUUUCCCCACUUUUUGGAUACAAUGAAUUC